ensembl:misc_RNA
UCUUCCCUGUCGCUCUUCUAGAUCUGCAUCGGAAUGUCGAGCAAAGUUGUUGGGUGUUUUUUGUUGUUUUUUUCUUCAAGUUUUGAAUUCCUCCAUGAUUUUUUUUUCUCUACUUCUAGAAAGGCGGCUUAGGAUAAUUAUUUCAGCUUUAUUGAGGGCAGAUUAGAAGAAGUCUGGAUGCUGCGUUUCAAUACGCGUUCUACAUGCCUGGACAAUGUCC